UAUGAUUGAAGAUAAGGGCUUUUGGUUUCCUUCUAUAUUUUCUCUUUUCGUUGUUGUUGGAAAAGGUCCUUUAUCUGUUUGUUUGAACAUCUAUUAUUUUUGUUAGAAAAGGGACAGAAGGAGGCUUCAUCUAGUUUCCUUCUAUAUUUUCUCUUUUUGUUGUUGUUGGAAAAGGUCCUUUAUCUGUUUGUUUGAAAAUCUAUUAUUUUUGUUGGAAAGGGACAGAAGGGGGAUAUGUGGAGUAUAGUUAGUCUGUUUUUGCUUGAUGUCAUGGAAAUAAACAAUUCAAUAGCUCUGGUAGUUCACAGAUCAUCCACUGUUUUGAGUGUGUAUAUCGAAUAAUUUAAAUUUUAUUUUUUGUGGAUUAAGAGUUAUUUUUCACGCCCUCUCAUUUUUUCACAUACUUUGUCUGCGCCUGCUCUGCCAUUACUUCUGGUAUACUUUCCCCCACAUACACCACCCUCAAAAAUAAAAGUAAGGGACAAUUUUGUUCCUUGUACAACUGAGACUUUAUAGCAUAGGACAAAAAUAUCAUUGAGCUUUCUGAAUUUAAUUAUUUGACCCCAUUGAUAACUUUGACUCGCCACUAGA
rnacentral:lncRNA from 1 species